GUGAUGAAAUAAGCAAUAAUGAUUGGACUCCACAAGUGGGUAUGGAAUUUAAUGAUGUUGAUGAGGCGUGGGGGUUUUGGAAGAUGUAUGCAUUGAAAGUUGGUUUUGGUGUACGUAGGAGAGUUACUAACAAAAGAAAGGAUGG